rnacentral:lncRNA from 1 species
CUGGGAACAGUUCCUCCUCUCCCGAGCCGCGCUGGCCGCGGCUCACCUUGGAGGCUUGCUGGCACGCUGUCUUAUCUUUCGCCCCCACUCCGUGUUUACUGUUCUGCAUUGGCUGUUUUGCAACGCUGUGCCCUGGCGCACGCUCUGGACUGGGGAGCUCAGCUGUGUUUGGAAACCCAAGAAGGCCAGGCGACCACAGUUGCAGUUGGUCCUGGGGCUUUGUGACAUCCAGGGUUUCUGUGGCUGGAUGCUGGCAUCUCCCAGGAUCAGCCGCAUGAGGUAAGGAAACAGAGAAGAAUCAGAGGCAGAAGGACAGACAUCUGUCGUGCUUUCGUCUCAGCAACUCACACUACACUUCUGAGGCUAAACUCGGGCUUUCUGGCAUGUGACCUAACCUGAAACCAUGCUCCUUGGUGAGUUUUCUCCUCCUGUUUACGGAGGAGCUGAGCUUCUGCAAAAGGGAAAUCAGAAUCUCGCCUGCAUUUUAUUAGUAUUGUGACCAUUUGCAAAUUAAUUUGGA